UGGACAGGGAGGCCUGGAGUGCUGUGAUUCAUGGGGUCGCAAAGAGUUGGGCCCGACUGAGCGACUGAACUGAACUGAACUGAACUGAACGGAAAGUUGGAGUGGACAGCUCUUCUGAGGAUAUUUACUGGGAAGAGGAACAGAGAAGUGGGACAGCGGCUGCAGGAAACUAUGGGGCCUCCCCAGGAAGUUUCCACUUUCCUUCAUCUCUCUUUCCUUUUAAAUGGAAUGAUUUCCACACGUGAGGAUGCUGAGAGGAAUGACCUGGUCAUGGGGGGAGGGGGAUAAUUCAUGAUGCAGGAAAGAGAAGGGACAGCCACCAGAGAGCGGAAGGUGGGCAGCGGGGGAUGUGACCAGACGAGCAGGGGCGAUCAGCCCUAGACAGUAAGAGGGCACGUUACCAACCAGAGCUCCGCAGGAGCGCACGCAUGCAAGACGGUAGAUACAGUGAGAGGUUAUACGGCAGUAGAUGUGGUGAGAGGUUACAGGACGGUAGAUACGGCGAGAGGUCACAUGAUGUUAGGUGCGGUGAGAGGUUACACGGCAGUAGACACGGUGAGAAAUGACGGUAGAUGAGGUGAGAGGUUACACGGCAGUAGACACAGUGAGAGGUUAUAUGACAGUAGAUACAGUGAGAAGUCACACGGCAGUAGACACGGUGAGAGAUUACACGAUGGUAGAUACAGUGAGAGGCUACAUGGCGGUAGAUACUGUGAGAGGUUAUAUGACGGUAGAUGAGGUGAGAGGUUACACGAUGGUAGACACGGUGAGAGCUUACACGACGGUAGAUACGGUGAGAGGUUACACGACGUUAGAUGAGAGGUUACAUGACAGUAGAUACGAUGACGACAGUAGAUACGAUGACGACAGUAGAUACGGUGAGAGGUUAUACGAUGGUAGAUGAGAGGUUACAUGACAGUAGAUACGAUGACGACAGUAGAUACGGUGAGAGGUUAUAUGACGGUAGAUGAGAGGUUACAUGACAGUAGAUACGAUGAUGACGGUAGAUACCGUGAGAGGUUAUAUGGCAAUAGACAGUUAUACGAUAGUAGAUAUGGUGAUAGGUUGUACAACAGUAGAUAAGGUGAGAGGUUAGGCACCUCCUUCUGGGUGCUUUUCCUCCAGGAGAGAAAGGAGAGAAGUGGCUGAGAGAGGAGAAAGUGUGAUCCUUGUCCAGGAGAGCCCGAGGUAAGCAAGCCUUGGAGCAGCAAUGCUCGGCCCCACUAAGGCCCCGUUGGGCUCAGUGGUACUGAAUUCAAAGUGAGAGCCACUGGCAUUACUGGGCAUUUCCCUGAGGCCCUGCAGAUUGCUGGGGUGUUGACGAGGGACAGAGAGAACAAAACGAGCAUGGCUUCAUCCCAUGCUGCCCUAUAGCACUGAAUAAAUGCCCAUGUGUCAAACGCAGCAAAUUUACUCUGAAAGUUUACAUUUACUAUUAUAACACCUGACCAUAAAAGGGGAGCAUAAGCCAUAAAGGAAGCAUCUACUAGAUGCCUGAGUUUUCAGGACAGACAGAACCCUUUGACACAGAUCUCCCCUCCAAAUAUGAGAUCUUUUUCUAAAAAUUGCCGGGGUCCAGCCUCAGCAGAGUCCAAGGAUAUCCUCAGGAUGGACGACGUCAGUGAAUGAAGAAAGAUCGAUAAAGAGAUAAAGAAAGAGACAUGGGGUGACUAAGCUUCUCUGAGCAAGGCCUGUGCACUUUAUUCUUCUCAGGGCUUUUAUACCCUGAGUUAUACAUACAGCAAGGNNNNNNNNNNNNNNNNNNNNNNNNNNNNNNNNNNNNNNNNNNNNNNNNNNNNNNNNNNNNNNNNNNNNNNNNNNNNNNNNNNNNNNNNNNNNNNNNNNNGGUCCAGCCUCAGCAGAGUCCAGGGAUAUCCUCAGGAUGGACGAUGUCAGUGAAUGAGGAAAGAUAGAUAAAGAGAUAAAGAAAGAGACACGGGAUGACCAAUCUUCUUCAAGCGAGGCCCCUUACUUUAUUCUUCUCUGGGCUUUUAUACCAUGAGUUAUACAUACAGCAAGGUGAAAAAUGCAGAGUCAACUCAACAUUCC
ensembl:lncRNA